UACGUAGGCAGCGAGCGUUGUUCGGAGUUACUGGGCGUAAAGAGUGCGUAGGCGGUUUCUAAGUUUGGUGUGAAAUCUCCCGGCUUAACUGGGAGGGUGCGCCGAAAACUGGAAGGCUAGAGUAUGGGAGAGGUAAGCGGAAUUCCUGGUGUAGCGGUGAAAUGCGUAGAUAUCAGGAGGAACACCUGCGGUGUAGACGGCUUACUGGACCAUAACUGACGCUGAGGCACGAAAGCGUGGGUAGCAAACAGG
rnacentral:rRNA from 1 species